GCCGGCGACCAUGCCACUUUUAAAGCACCGGUUCUCGUCCGAUCACCGCAGUUAAGUAACGUUGGGCCCGGUCAGUACUUGCAUGCU
rfam:Schistosoma rodhaini strain Burundi genome assembly, scaffold: SROB_scaffold0000634